rnacentral:rRNA from 1 species
UGGGGAAUAUUGGACAAUGGAGGAAACUCUGAUCCAGCAAUUCUGUGUGUGUGAAGAAGGUUUUGGGACUGUAAAACACUUUUAGUAGGGAAGAAAAAAAUGACGGUACCUACAGAAGAAGCAACGGCUAAAUACGUGCCAGCAGCCGCGGUAAUACGUAUGUUGCGAGCGUUAUCCGGAAUUAUUGGGCUUAAAGGGCAUCUAGGCGGUAAGACAAGUUGAAGGUGAAAACCUGUGGCUCAACCAUAGGCUUGCCUACAAAACUGUUGAACUAGAGUACUGGAAAGGUGGGUGGAACUACACGAGUAGAGGUGAAAUUCGUAGAUAUGUGUAGGAAUGCCGAUGAUGAAGAUAACUCACUGGACAGAAACUGACGCUGAAGUGCGAAAGCUAGGGGAGCAAACAGG